rnacentral:rRNA from 1 species
UACAGAGGGGGCAAGCGUUAUUCGGAAUUAUUGGGCGUAAAGGGCGCGUAGGCGGCUUGGUAAGUGGAUGGUGAAAUCCCUCGGCUUAACCGAGGAACUGCCGUCCAAACUGCUUCGCUUGAGACCGGGAGAGGUGAGUGGAAUUCCCAGUGUAGCGGUGAAAUGCGUAGAUAUUGGGAGGAACACCAGUGGCGAAGGCGGCUCACUGGACCGGUACUGACGCUGAUGCGCGAAAGCGUGGGGAGCAAACGGG